UGAAUACGAGACGCUACGGCGUCGAAGCAGUCUAUGUCAUACUUCCAAGAAAAGCUUGCACUGUCAUAAACAAAUAAUGCCUGUACCAUAACCGACACAGGUGGGUAGGUAGAGUAUACUAAGGGGCGCGAGAUAACUCUCUCUAAGGAACUCGGCAAAAUGACUCCGUAACUUCGGGAGAAGGAGUGCCUUAUUUAUAAGGUUGCAAUAACAAGAUCCAAGCAACUGUUUAUCAAAAACACAGGUCUCCGCUAAGUCGUAAGACGAUGUAUGGGGGCUGACGCCUGCCCAGUGCCAGAAGGUUAAAGAAGUUGGUUAGCAUUAGCGAAGCUGAUAACUGAAGCCCUGGUGAACGGCGGCCGUAACAAUAACGGUCCUAAGGUAGCGAAAUUCCUUGUCGGGUAAGUUCCGACCCGCACGAAAGGCGUAAUGAUUUGGAUACUGUCUCGGAGAGGGGCUCGGUGAAAUAGACUUGUCUGUGAAGAUGCGGACUACCUGCACCUGGACAGAAAGACCCUAUGAAGCUUUACUGUAACCUGAAAUUGAAAUUGGACUUUAUUUGCGCAGUAUAGGUGGGAGGCGAUGAGAAUAUUCUUGCGGGAAUAUUGGAGCCAUCAGUGAGAUACCACUCUUGUAAUGUUAGAUUUCUAACUUUGAAUCAUUAUCUGGUCAAAGAACAGUUUCAGGCGGGCAGUUUGACUGGGGCGGUCGCCUCCUAAAUGGUAACGGAGGCGCACAAAGGUUUCCUCUGAACGGGUAGAAAUCGUAUCUAGAGUGUAAAGGCAUAAGGAAGCUUGACUGUGAGACCUACAAGUCGAGCAGGGACGAAAGUCGGUCUUAGUGAUCUGACGGUGCUGAGUGGAAAGGCCGUCACUCAACGGAUAAAAGUUACUCUAGGAUAACAGGCUGAUCUCCCCCAAGAGUUCACAUCGACGGGGAGGUUUGGCACCUCGAUGUCGGCUCAUCGCAUCCUGGGGCGGUAGUACGUCCCAGGGGUUGGGCUGUUCGCCCAUGAAAGCGGUACGCGAGCUGGGUUCAGAACGUCGUGAGACAGUUCGGUCCAUAUCCGGUGUAGGCGUUAGAAUAUUGAGAGGAGCCUUCUUUAGUACGAGAGGACCGAGAAGGACAUACCUCUGGUGUACCAGUUAUCGUGCCAACGGUAAACGCUGGGUAGCUAUGUAUGGAGAGGAUAACCGCUGAAAGCAUCUAAGUGGGAAGCCCACCUCAAGAUAAG
rnacentral:rRNA from 1 species